CCUACGGGAGGCAGCAGUGGGGAAUAGUGGGCAAUGGGCGCAAGCCUGACCCAGCAACGCCGCGUGAAGGAAGAAGGCUUUCGGGUUGUAAACUUCUUUUGUCAGGGACGAAGCAAGUGACGGUACCGGACGAAUAAGCCACGGCUAACUACGUGCCAGCAGCCGCGGUAAUACGUAGGUGGCAAGCGUUAUCCGGAUUUAUUGGGUGUAAAGGGCGUGUAGGCGGGAAGGCAAGUCAGAGGUGAAAACUAUGGGCUCAACCCAUAGCCUGCAUUUGAAACUGUAUUUCUUGAGUGCUGGUGUGGCAAUCGGAAUUCCGUGUGUAGCGGUGACCUGCGUAGAUAUACGGAGGCACCCC
rnacentral:rRNA from 1 species